rnacentral:tRNA from 1 species
AUUUAAAUAGUUUAAUAAAAACGUUGGUUUGUGAUACCAAAAUUAUAAGCAUUAUUUUAAAUA